AGUGAACGCUGGCGGUAGGCCUAACACAUGCAAGUCGAACGGCACCACAGUAAGAGCUUGCUCUUACGGGUGGCGAGUGGCGGACGGGUGAGGAAUACAUCGGAAUCUACUUUUUCGUGGGGGAUAACGUAGGGAAACUUACGCUAAUACCGCAUACGACCUACGGGUGAAAGCAGGGGAUCUUCGGACCUUGCGCGAUUGAAUGAGCCGAUGUCGGAUUAGCUAGUUGGCGGGGUAAAGGCCCACCAAGGCGACGAUCCGUAGCUGGUCUGAGAGGAUGAUCAGCCACACUGGAACUGAGACACGGUCCAGACUCCUACGGGAGGCAGCAGUGGGGAAUAUUGGACAAUGGGCGCAAGCCUGAUCCAGCCAUACCGCGUGGGCGAAGAAGGCCUUCGGGUUGUAAAGCCCUUUUGUUGGGAAAGAAAAGCAGCAGGUUAAUACCCCGCUGUUCUGACGGUACCCAAAGAAUAAGCACCGGCUAACUUCGUG
rnacentral:rRNA from 1 species